GGAAUAAAAGUCGUAACAUGGUCUCCGUAGGUGAACCUGCGGAGGGAUCAUUACAGAGUUCAUGCCCUACCGGGUAGAUCUCCCACCCUAUGUUAUUAUUACUUUGUUGCUUUGGCGGGCCGUUAGGCUCCGGCCCGACUACCGGCCCCGGCUGGUAAGCGCCCGCCAGAGGACCCAAAACCCUGAAUAUUAGUGUCGUCUGAGUACUAUAUAAUAGUUAAAACUUUCAACAACGGAUCUCUUGGUUCUG
rnacentral:misc_RNA from 1 species